UGCUUGGGGUCAAAUGGAGAAAGUGUCAAAAUGCUCUGCUCUCCCAGUCUGAUGAGCUGGACAGUGUUCGAACUUCCAUUACUCUCUGAAGUAAGAGCAACCUUAGGGCUGGAGCCUAAGUAGAGGCCAGGAAUAGUAACAAAUUUGAACUCUUCUAUAGUUGACUUCUUAGUCUUCAAAAACGAAAAGUAGCUUUUGCUGAUUUAUUAAACCCAAAGCACAAGACAAAAAAAAAUUAUAUCAGACCUUCAGUCAUCCAUGUUCUGAGUCAUGAGAGUAGCAAUUUAUUCACACCAGUUCAGAAGAGUGUGAAAAUGAAGAACCC
rnacentral:lncRNA from 1 species